UAAUUGCUUGUUCAAGAGACUAUAGCUGGCCUCGCAUGUGCGGGAGCAGCUCGAGGCUAUGGACAAUCUGUGAACACUCUGCUGGCUCUGGCUAGCUAUACGUACCUAUGGCUGCCUUACCUUCAAAUAAUGAAUAUACUUUAAAUUGUCACGCUUGUUACAUGUGCACAAAUGUUAGUUGUCACGCAUGUCAUAAUAGAGCUAGAGCACAUGUCAUUUGCAGCCACGAGACAAAGAGAGAGCAAGACGAGGUGUACCCUGCCGGGGCGACUCGCCCCUGCCGACUGUCUCCUUGUACCUUUUGAUAACUACUCAACGCUGCACAGCACAGGAUUCAGCAUUCAAUCACUCUCAUAAUUUUAUUGUCAUUUCAUCUUUUAUGGGGGACGCCCCACUCUUAAUUUUUAUCACUGAAUGGCUGCUGACGUACGUAUAUAUAAGAGCACUACAAGAUACGACAGGAAAGGGUCAGUAUAAUAAUUAUGUAAGUGAUGUAGUGUACUAUCUUCUGGUAUUCAGCCCCUUUAAUGAGCACAGGAUUAUAUAGAUCUCCAAGCCAUUAGUUACAUCACUAUAAUUAUGCAAUUAUCUGCUGUAUUUCAUAUUGUAAUGAUUCAUUGGGUACUGACUUUAUAUGGAUGUAUGGAUGGUGCUAUGAUUCUUAGCCUUCCAGGCCGCAACAUAGAAUGCUGGCUUUCUGAUCGAAGAGGAGAUGAUCUGUUAUUGGCCGGGGAUGGAGUGGAUCUACCUCUGAGAGACAAAGGGCCAGUUAUUGUAUCAUGUAUGAAUAUUCUGUUGCUUGUACAUUUCGUAGCAUUAUCAGUAAUUGACUCUAGAGUAGCAUCUUGUGCUUCAUCACUCAAUCUGCAGGCAGUGUAUGUGAUUUUCUGACAGACUCUAAACAGAGGGAGUCGGCCACACAAGCAUUGACCUCUACUACCGUGUAGCGGGAAAGUUCGUUAUUUGAGCCCUCGAGAAAUGUUGUAUAGUUGUUCACAUUUCAAUGCCAGGAAACCACAGCUUUGCAUGGUGCGUGGGAGUGUCUUCCAUUAUAUUACAUGAAGUGUGAAGUGUGUUGUAAGUUUGUACAGAGAGGACUCCCAUGGUGGCAAUGAUCUGAUGAUGCUCUGAUGGACCGAUGCAGGAGAAGUUAUUCUGUAUAAUUAUUACACUAAUUAAUGUAUGCCACUGUUUGGAUCGGUUUCUGUUCUGCUCAGCUUCUUCCUCCAACUUGCUUACGCAGGCUAAGCUUAUUCUUAGUUCAUUCUUAGUUCAUUCUAUAGUCUAGUAUUAUUGUCGGUUUGGUUGUUUUAUGUUUUUCACCUGGUCAUACGGAAUCACUUCAUUAAUUUUUAUACAGUGCAGACCACACCUCUAUCCACACAUUGUACCUGCACAUCCUGUAUAUAUGGGGCCACACCCCCACUCACUGUACUGAUAUGUGGUCACACCCCCAUACAUGGUAACCCUCUUGAUCACACCCCAACCCUAUGCUGUGUUUUUGUGUACAGUACACACAUCAUCCGUGUCUUUAUCCCCACACCUAGUCGGAGGGAGCAGCAAGUUCUACUAAGAGCCAGCAUCACCCACUAACCAACACUCUACAAGACCUACCUACUACCAGCUAGGACAGCACACCACCCGGGACAGACUCUACUAUACCAUGUAAUACGCCUUUGUAUUACGAUCAUGAUACAAUUUGCUGCCCUCCCUCGCCAAUGGAUUGAAUAAUUAUGGACACUCGCAGGACAACUAAGAGACUGACACACAAUAAUAGACACCAAAGGUCCAGUUACUGUAUCAUGCAGUGUAUGUGAUUUUCUGACAGGAAAGGCUACUCUAAACAGAGGGAGUCGGCCACACAAGUCGGAGGGAGCAGCAAGUUCUACUAAGAGCCAGCAUCACCCACUAACCAACACUCUACAAGACCUACCUACUACCAGCUAGGACAGCACACCACCCGGGACAGACUCUACUAUACCCAUGUAAUACGCCUUUGUAUUACGAUCAUGAUACAAUUUGCUGCCCUCCCUCGCCAAUGGAUUGAAUAAUUAUGGACACUCGCAGGACAACUAAGAGACUGACACACAAUAAUAGACACCAAAGGCAGUGUAUGUGAUUUUCUGACAGGAAAGGCUACUCUAAACAAAGGGAGUCGGCCACACAAGUCGGAGGGAGCAGCAAGUUCUACUAAGAGCCAGCAUCACCAACUAACCAACACUACAAGACCUACCUACUACCAGCUAGGACAGCACACCACCCGGGACAGACUCUACUAUACCAUGUAAUACGCCUUUUUAUUACGAUCAUGAUACAAUUUGCUGCCCUCCCUUGCCCAUGGAUUGAAUAAUUAUGGACACUCGCAGGACAACUAAGAGACUGACACACAAUAAUAGACACCUAACUGCAUUUUUGCCAUUAAUAUAAUAAAAAUAAUUUUGCCAUUAA